rnacentral:piRNA from 1 species
UUACCGUGAAAAUAAAUACAUUCUGAGCCG